GACUCUCGGCAACGGAUAUCUCGGCUCUCGCAUCGAUGAAGACGAGCGAAAUGCGAUACUGGUGUGAAUUGCAGAAUCCCGUGAACCAUCGAGUCUUUGAACGCAAGUUGCGCCCGAGGCCUCCUGGUCGAGGGCACGUCUGCCUGGGUGUCA
rnacentral:rRNA from 1 species